GUGGAAGACAUGCCUGAGUUCUCCGCGCACCAGUGCCAGGAUGCAAGCCUCCGCCCUCCCAGGAAACUGGCCAGUGAUAUUCCAUCUCCCUUCCUGCUGUCAGCUUCUUGACGGAAGAAGAUACAGACACAGAGGAGAAGGUCACAUGAAGACAAAGGCAGAGACUGGAAUGAUAACUCUACAAGCCAUAGAACGCCAGGAACUACCAGAGGCUGGAAGAUGCAGAGAUCCUCCCCCAGAACCUCCAGAGGAAGCGUGGCCCUGCCGACACCCUGAUGAUGGACUUCUGGCCUCCAGAACUCUGUUCCAGUGGGGCUGAUGUGGACCUCCCUGUGGGUACCACUCAUCUUUAAAGCAGUCAGUAUCAUCAUGUCCUGCUGCGGCGGAGAAAGGAAGGAAGGUCUGUGCUGCUGGAGGGUGCAAGGGCUCCCUCCAAGCUCCAAAAGCUCGUGCCCAGCCUCCUGACUCAAUUACUUCCCCACCAAAGCAAUACUGUCUCUGCUUGUAUGACGGAAUAAAGACGUACAUUUGUACAGUUAGGUACUUUAAAUGAUUUGAAAUAUUG